ACGGGGGGCUUACGGGGGCCAGCAGUAGGGAAUAUUGGCCAAUGGACGGAAGUCUGACCCACCCACGCCGCGUGCAGGAGGAAGGCGCUCUGCGUUGUAAACUGCUUUAGCAGGGGAAGAAAAGACUCAUGCGUGAGGAAUGACGU
rnacentral:rRNA from 1 species